ensembl:antisense Gm15949 predicted gene 15949
UCUCCAGGUCAGCUUCCGUAAUCCCAGAGAGUUUGAUGAAGCUCGGAGCCUCACGGUGAGGGCGGAUGAUAGUCUCUAACUAUCUAGGAAGGGAAGCCAGGGCUGGCUGAAAGACUGCUGAGAACA